GUCGAACGAGAAAGGGAUCCUUCGGGAACCUGAGUAAAGUGGCGAACGGGUGAGUAACACGUGGGUGACCUGCCCUCUGGAGGGGGAUAACCCGAGGAAACUCGGGCUAAGACCGCAUAAGCCUUCGAGGUCAAAUUCAAAGGGAAAAGGAUUUAGCUUUCGAGCUAGAUCCUACCGGAGGAGGGGCCCGCGUCCCAUUAGCUAGUUGGUGGGGUAAAAGCCUACCAAGGCUACGAUGGGUAGCCGGUCUGAGAGGACGGACGGCCACACUGGAACUGAGACACGGUCCAGACUCCUGCGGGAGGCAGCAGUGGGGAAUAUUGCACAAUGGGGGAAACCCUGAUGCAGCCAUGCCGCGUGUGUGAAGAAGGCCUUCGGGUUGUAAAGCUCUUUCAGUUGUGAGGAAAAGUUAGUAGUUAAUACCUGCUAGCCGUGACGUUAACAACAGAAGAAGCACCGGCUAACUCCGUGCCAGCAGCCGCGGUAAUACAGAGGGUGCGAGCGUUAAUCGGAAUUACUGGGCGUAAAGCGCACGCAGGCGGUUUGUUAAGCUAGAUGUGAAAGCCCCGGGCUCAACCUGGGAUGGUCAUUUAGAACUGGCAGACUAGAGUCUUGGAGAGGGGAGUGGAAUUCCAGGUGUAGCGGUGAAAUGCGUAGAUAUCUGGAGGAACAUCAGUGGCGAAGGCGACUCCCUGGCCAAAGACUGACGCUCAUGUGCGAAAGUGUGGGUAGCGAACAGGAUUAGAUACCCUGGUAGUCCACACCGUAAACGCUGUCUACUAGCUGUGUGUGCCUUUAAGGCGUGCGUAGCGAAGCUAACGCGCUAAGUAGACCGCCUGGGGAGUACGGCCGCAGGUUAAACUCAAUGAAUUGACGGGGGCCCGCACAAGCGUGAGCAUGUGUUUAUUCGAUGCACGCGAGAGCU
rnacentral:rRNA from 1 species